GGAUGCGAUCAUACCAGCACUAAAGCACCGGAUCCCAUCAGAACUCUGAAGUUAAGAGUGCUUGGGCGAGAGUAGUACUAGGAUGGGUGACCUCCUGGGAAGUCCUCAUGUUGCAUUCCC
rnacentral:rRNA from 1 species